AAACUUUCAACAACGGAUCUCUUGGUUCUCGCAUCGAUGAAGAGCGCAGCGAAAUGCGAUACCUAGUGUGAAUUGCAGCCAUCGUGAAUCAUCGAGUUCUUGAACGCACAUUGCGCCCGCUGGUAUUCCGGCGGGCAUGCCUGUCUGAGCGUCGUU
rnacentral:rRNA from 1 species